GCCGGCUCAGGGCGGAGCAGCCGGGGAUGGCGGAGCGAAACACCGCCUGCUUCCCUUUUCCAUUAUCGCUCCUUCCUCUUCCCAAAAGCGCCUGUUGUGAGUUAGAUAAGUUCUUUGAAUGUGCUUGGUUCUAACUACAAACUUUACCCUCCUUGUUUGUCCACAAGACCCGUGACUAAUCUGUGGGCUAUUGUGUCUAUCUAAUCAAAGGGAGACUAAGGAGUUGCUGGGGGCAACAGUCUCUUCUGCUGUUGUCUCCUGCUCCCUUUCUCCUGCAGCUGACUUGUUUGUGCCUCAUUCUUCUCCCGUUUGCUGACUGGAAGCGGCAAGUGGCGCCCGAACAGGGACUUGAAACCAAACAGGAGAAGCAGCCUCAACACAGAGAUCACAAGUAGGCAGAGAGGCAGGCAGAGAG